UAUACCGUGAAACUGCGAAUGGCUCAUUAAAUCAGUUAUCGUUUAUUUGAUAGUACCUUACUACUUGGAUAACCGUGGUAAUUCUAGAGCUAAUACAUGCUUAAAACCCCGACUUCGGAAGGGGUGUAUUUAUUAGAUAAAAAACCAACGCCCUUCGGGGCUUCUUGGUGAUUCAUGAUAACUUUACGGAUCGCAUGGCCUUGCGCCGGCGACGGUUCAUUCAAAUUUCUGCCCUAUCAACUUUCGAUGGUAAGGUAUUGGCUUACCAUGGUUUCAACGGGUAACGGGGAAUUAGGGUUCGAUUCCGGAGAGGGAGCCUGAGAAACGGCUACCACAUCCAAGGAAGGCAGCAGGCGCGCAAAUUACCCAAUCCCGACACGGGGAGGUAGUGACAAUAAAUACUGAUACAGGGCUCUUUUGGGUCUUGUAAUUGGAAUGAGUACAAUUUAAACCUCUUAACGAGGAACAAUUGGAGGGCAAGUCUGGUGCCAGCAGCCGCGGUAAUUCCAGCUCCAAUAGCGUAUAUUAAAGUUGUUGCAGUUAAAAAGCUCGUAGUUGAAACUUGGGUCUGGCUGGCAGGUCCGCCUCACCGCGUGUACUUGUCCGGCCGGGCCUUCCUUCUGGAGAACCUCAUGCCCUUCACUGGGCGUGUUGGGGACCAGGACUUUUACUUUGAAAAAAUUAGAGUGUUCAAAGCAGGCCUUUGCUCGAAUACGUUAGCAUGGAAUAAUAGAAUAGGACGUGCGGUCCUAUUUUGUUGGUUUCUAGGACCGCCGUAAUGAUUAAUAGGGACAGUCGGGGGCAUCAGUAUUCAAUUGUCAGAGGUGAAAUUCUUGGAUUUAUUGAAGACUAACUACUGCGAAAGCAUUUGCCAAGGAUGUUUUCAUUAAUCAGUGAACGAAAGUUAGGGGAUCGAAGACGAUCAGAUACCGUCGUAGUCUUAACCGUAAACUAUGCCGACUAGGGAUCGGGCGAUGUUCUUUUUCUGACUCGCUCGGCACCUUACGAGAAAUCAAAGUU
rnacentral:rRNA from 1 species